rnacentral:rRNA from 1 species
UAGGGAAUCUUCCGCAAUGGGCGAAAGCCUGACGGAGCAACGCCGCGUGAGUGAUGAAGGUUUUCGGAUCGUAAAGCUCUGUUGCCAGGGAAGAACGUCUCAUAGAGUAACUGCUAUGAGAGUGACGGUACCUGAGAAGAAAGCCCCGGCUAACUACGUGCCAGCAGCCGCGGUAAUACGUAGGGGGCAAGCGUUGUCCGGAAUUAUUGGGCGUAAAGCGCGCGCAGGCGGUUCUUUAAGUCUGGUGUUUAAACCUGAGGCUCAACUUCGGGACGCACUGGAAACUGGGGGACUUGAGUGCAGAAGAGGAGAGUGGAAUUCCACGUGUAGCGGUGAAAUGCGUAGAUAUGUGGAGGAACACCAGUGGCGAAGGCGACUCUCUGGGCUGUAACUGACGCUGAGGCGCGAAAGCGUGGGGAGCGAACA